UACGUAGGGCGCAAGCGUUGUCCGGAAUUAUUGGGCGUAAAGAGCUCGUAGGUGGCUUGUCACGUCGGGUGUGAAAGCUUGGGGCUUAACUCCGGGCCUGCAGUCGAUACGGGCUGGCUUGAGUGCGGUAGGGGAGACUGGAAUUCCUGGUGUAGCGGUGAAAUGCGCAGAUAUCAGGAGGAACACCGGUGGCGAAGGCGGGUCUCUGGGCCGUAACUGACGCUGAGGAGCGAAAGCGUGGGGAGCGAACAGG
rnacentral:rRNA from 1 species